GACGAACGCUGGCGGCGUGCCUAAUACAUGCAAGUUGAGCGCUGAAGGUUGGUACUUGUACCAACUGGAUGAGCAGCGAACGGGUGAGUAACGCGUGGGGAAUCUGCCUUUGAGCGGGGGACAACAUUUGGAAACGAAUGCUAAUACCGCAUAAAAACUUUAAACACAAGUUUUAAGUUUGAAAGAUGCAAUUGCAUCACUCAAAGAUGAUCCCGCGUUGUAUUAGCUAGUUGGUGAGGUAAAGGCUCACCAAGGCGAUGAUACAUAGCCGACCUGAGAGGGUGAUCGGCCACAUUGGGACUGAGACACGGCCCAAACUCCUACGGGAGGCAGCAGUAGGGAAUCUUCGGGAAGAGACGAAAGUCUGACCGAGCAACGCCGCGUGAGGGAAGAAGGUUGUCGGAUCGUAAAACUCUGUUGGUAGAGAAGAACGUUGGUGAGAGUGGAAAGCUCAUCAAGUGACGGUAACUACCCAGAAAGGGACGGCUAACUACGUG
rnacentral:rRNA from 1 species